rnacentral:rRNA from 1 species
CGCCUGUUUAUCAAAAACAUGUCUUCUUGGGAAUAUAAGAAGUCUAGCCUGCUCACUGAUAAUUUAUAUUAAAGAGCUGCGGUAUUUUGACCGUACAAAGGUAGCAUAGUCAUUAGUUUUUUAAUUGAAAGCUUGUAUGAAUGGCUGGACAAGACAAAUACUGUCUUUAUUAUAACUGUGGAAUUUAACUUUUAAGUGAAAAGGCUUAAAUAAUUCAAAGGGACGAUAAGACCCUAUAAGCUUGAUAUCUAUAUUUAUAUUUUUAGAAAUUAUUUUAAAUGAGAAUUUUUAAAAGAUAUUUGGUUGGGGCGGCAUGGAUAAAAAUUGUAUUAACUUUUCGUAAAUAAAACAUAAAUAUAUGAAAUUAAUAGAUCCUUAUUAAAGAUUAAAAGAAAAGUUACUUUAGGGAUAACAGCGUUAUUUUUUUUGAGAGUUCCUAUCGAAAAAAGAGAUUACGACCUCGAUGUUGAAUUAAAAAUUCUAAUUAGCGCAGCUGCUUUUAAAGAAGGUCUGUUCGACCUUUAAAUUUUUACAUGAUCUGAGUUCAAACC